AUAACCCCAAAUUUUUUUUUUUAUAUAAAAAGGGAUAGAAUAGUCCUUUAAAAUUGAUAUAAGGGGUAAAAUUGGAAGGAAUCAAAAGAUAAUGGCAUAGUUGUAGAUAUGUUGAAGUGUUAGGGGCAAAAUGGGAAUUUAAUAAUAUUAAACAAAGGUGAAUAGUGCUUUGAUGUGAUUUAAAUGGGGUGGUUGGUGGCUCACGGGAAUGAAACCGAGAGAGAGUCACAGAGAGGGGGUUCUCAGGCGACAGAGAGGAAGAAAAAGAAGAAGAAGAAGAGGAAGGGGAUUCGAGGAGGAGGGGGAUCCCGGUUGCACUUCCAGCUGAAGGGAAAAACGUAGAUCUCCUUCCCCUCUACACAAGGACCUCGAUUUCCAAAAAGAAAAAGGUAAAUAUCCGUCCCUAUCUAGUCUUUUGAUGACAUUAGGCUAUACAAAGGGUGGAUAUAGUCUAGAGGGGUCGGAUAAGGGUUGUAGAGGUGGUUAAAAGAGGAAGAAUCGGAUUUUAACAAAUUUUUCCGGCACUACGGAAAAACUGUGUCGAAGUCCCAACUUCGGCGAAUU
rnacentral:lncRNA from 1 species